rnacentral:rRNA from 1 species
CGGCGGACGGGUGAGUAAUGUCUGGGAAACUGCCCGAUGGAGGGGGAUAACUACUGGAAACGGUAGCUAAUACCGCAUAAUGUCUGCGGACCAAAGCGGGGGACCUCCGGGCCUCGCGCCAUCAGAUGAACCCAUAUGGGAUUAGCUUGUAGGUAAGGUAACGGCUUACCUAGGCGACGAUCCCUAGCUGGUCUGAGAGGAUGAUCAGCCACACUGGGACUGAGACACGGCCCAG